rnacentral:rRNA from 1 species
AUGUACAUGCCUACAACAUAGUGUUAAUUCUUUGGAUCCCAUCAUAGCUCUGCAGUCAAGCGUGCUCAGGAUAGAGUAGUACUGGGAUGGGUGACUGCCUGAGAAGUCCUAGUGUUUUACAUU